GCCCCGCAAGGGGAGCGGCAGACGGGUGAGUAACGCGUGGGAACGUACCCUUUACUACGGAAUAACGCAGGGAAACUUGUGCUAAUACCGUAUGUGCCCUUCGGGGGAAAGAUUUAUCGGUAAGGGAUCGGCCCGCGUUGGAUUAGCUAGUUGGUGGGGUAAAGGCCUACCAAGGCGACGAUCCAUAGCUGGUCUGAGAGGAUGAUCAGCCACAUUGGGACUGAGACACGGCCCAAACUCCUACGGGAGGCAGCAGUGGGGAAUAUUGGACAAUGGGCGCAAGCCUGAUCCAGCCAUGCCGCGUGAGUGAUGAAGGCCCUAGGGUUGUAAAGCUCUUUCACCGGAGAAGAUAAUGACGGUAUCCGGAGAAGAAGCCCCGGCUAACUUCGUGCC
rnacentral:rRNA from 1 species